GCUACUAGAGAAGCUCGAUCAUUGAUGAAGUUCGAAAGAAGUUCGGAGUAGAGAUCCGGCUGGUGGAGCUCAUCCGUUGUAGGAGUUCGUCUGGAAUUUAUCCGCUGUAGAAGUUCGACUGGGAUACGACUCUUGUAGGAGCUCAGAUGAAAUCUCGAAGGCGAUCGACCAUCGUAGAAACUUGGAUGGAGUCUGAUUACUGUAGAAGUCCUGCUAUUGGAGAAGCUCGGACAUUGACGAAGUUCGAAAGAAGUUCGGAGUAAAGUCAUCCGUGACCGGAAGAAGUCUGGAAGAGAUUUAGAUAAUAGUCGAUCGCUAUAGAAAAUCAGCUGAUAGUGAAGCUCGAAAAGUGCUUGGAGCAGCCCGGUAGAUGAAUGGAGGAGCUCAUUAUUGGAGAAGCUCGGAUGGUAUUAUGGAAACUUGGACAGCCGGGGA
rnacentral:lncRNA from 1 species